AGGUAAAAUGGAUGGAACAUCAGACAGCUCAUUAUAGAGACAAGUAAGCUCCAGUUCCAAAGUUGGUUGACAGAACAAGUCAUGACCUUGUGUGGAGGAAAAUGAGAUCCCGAGUGAAGUCUACAAUGUCAUUGACUCUGAAGAAGGACUCAGAGACCCAUUGGUGUUUAAUGACCCUUACUGGCCUAUGCAAUGGAAACUGGUAUGAUCUUCAGAAAUAGAUGGUUCUUUGGCAGUGUUAAGAAAUAUUAUUUUUGUCAUGUUCUAAUGCAGUAGAUAGGCACUUUUAUGCACUGCCUGCUUUUAUCUAUUGGUUUUGCAGAGAGAGACUUAGCAAACUUUUGAUGAAAUAUUACUGCCAUCUUAUUAAUGAACACUAAUCCUUUUAAUUUGAUUACAUCCUUAGGGUUUGAUUUAAUCUAUAAAAGACACCAGUAAAAACCCCAAGAUAUUUAAAUUUGGUGUGUGUAAACAGACUCAUUACAUAGAAAUGUUGUUGCC
rnacentral:lncRNA from 1 species